GCCUCUGUGGCGCAAUUGGUUAGCGCGUUCGGCUGAUAAGCAAAAGGCUGGUGGUUCGGACCCACCCAGGGACA